AUACGGGGGGUGCAAGCGUUAUUCGGAUUUAUUGGGCGUAAAGAGCGCGUAGGCGGCUUGGUAAGUCAGAUGUGAAAGCCCGGGGCUCAACCCCGGAAGUGCAUUUGAAACUAUCAGGCUUGAGUAUGGGAGAGGGAAGUGGAAUUCCUGGUGUAGAGGUGAAAUUCGUAGAUAUCAGGAGGAACACCGGUGGCGAAGGCGACUUCCUGGAUCAAUACUGACGCUGAGGCGCGAAGGCGUGGGGAGCAAACAGGAUUAGAAACCCGAGUAGUCC
rnacentral:rRNA from 1 species